ACACGUUGGCGUUUGGGGAUGCCUUUAAGCUCAGUGCAUGACAUGGCAGUGCUGCUCAGGUAGCAGUGUGCAGCUGCUGUGCAGCUUUGGCUUUAGUGCUCCUCCAGCAGCUCUGAUCCGAGCACACUGCUAAAGGCCACGCUGUUACUGCCUGUGUGUGGAGCCUGGCUGCAGACUGCCAUGCAAGCUGCCGAAUGACCGUGGUGCUCGGGACGACAAGAGGAGAAGAUGAGUGAAGUGCUGGUGGAGGAGCCAGAUGGGAGAGGAAGAACGGCAGGCCAGGAGCAAGAAGGGACCCAAUGCUGGGUUGGAACCACCAGAAAGAGGAAGGGCUGUGAGCUGAACGCGGGCUGACCUGCACCAAGGAAGGGAAAGAAGCGGCGCAGUGCAGCGUUCCCCGGUGCCAGCGAGCUCUGUUGGCAGUGGGAUGUUGGGGAGAGGACGGUGAGAUCUCAGGGGUGUGCAGAUAUCAGCUGGCGUUGCCUCAGCCUUGGCUGCUGCAGCCUGAUCCCAAGGCUUGGCCUGAACCCUGCUGGAGGAUCCGAGUUCAGCCCAAAAGCACCGGGAGGAAGUACCAGAACUGUUCCCAGGCCACCCCUGCACCACGGCAGUGCCUGCAGCAGUGGGGGCUGGCCUGGCUCUCCAGCAUGGCGUUGUGCUUUGGGGGAAAGUUUCUGCAUCCCACUGCCGUAGGUGUGCUGGAGGCUGCAGCAAUCACAAGGAGGACUUAAUGAUCUUACGGGUCUCCUGCAACUGAAACAACUCUAUAACUCUGUGACUUCCCAGCACGUGCAUAUGGGGCUGCCAAGGGGCUGCUCAUGCUUGCAGGCACCAGGGGAGGUUGCAGGGGUUCCACAGGUUCAGCACAUCCAGAUUUCACCGGAGACCUGCCUUGGUUUGAGCAAAAGGACAGCUUGGCCCUUUCAGUAAGAAGUUACAGGCAUCUCCAGCGAGUUCUGUUCCUCACAGCCAUCUCCUCUCCGAUGCGAUAUGGGUUGGACACAUCCCUGCCAGGGUCCAGCCCCACUGCCCUGCCCCAGGGCAAAACGGUUUGGCUGGAGGAGUGUGGCUGCUCCUGGGGCUGGGGGAGUGGGGCUGCCCGAAGGAGCCCGGGGUGACGCUGGGGGAGAACGCUGCCCUGCGCACUAUGGGGGGUAGGAAGGCACAGG
ensembl:lncRNA